UAGAGUUUGAUCCUGGCUCAGAUUGAACGCUGGCGGCAUGCCUUACACAUGCAAGUCGAACGGUAGAGCAGCAAUGCUUGAGAGUGGCGAACGGGUGAGUAAUAUAUCGGAACGUGCCCAAUCGUGGGGGAUAACGUAGAGAAAUUUACGCUAAUACCGCAUACGAUCUAAGGAUGAAAGCGGGGGCUUCGCAAGAACCUCGCGCGAUUGGAGCGGCUGAUAGCAGAUUAGCUUGUUGGUGAGGUAAAAGCUCACCAAGGCGACGAUCUGUAGCUGGUUUGAGAGAACGACCAGCCACACUGGGACUGAGGCACGGCCCAGACUCCUACGGGAGGCAGCAGUGGGGAAUUUUGGACAAUGGGCGAAAGCCUGAUCCAGCAAUGCCGCGUGUGGGAAGAAGGCCUUCGGGUUGUAAACCACUUUUGUACGGAACGAAACGGUCUGCUUUAAUACAGCGGGCUAAUGACGGUACCGUAAGAAUAAGCACCGGCUAACUACGUGCCAGCAGCCGCGGUAAUACGUAGGGUGCGAGCGUUAAUCGGAAUUACUGGGCGUAAAGCGUGCGCAGGCGGUUAUAUAAGACAGUUGUGAAAUCCCCGGGCUCAACCUGGGAAUUGCAUUUGUGACUGUAUAGCUAGAGUACGGUAGAGGGGGAUGGAAUUCCGCGUGUAGCAGUGAAAUGCGUAGAUAUGCGGAGGAACACCGAUGGCGAAGGCAAUCCCCUGGACCUGUACUGACGCUCAUGCACGAAAGCGUGGGGAGCAAACAGGAUUAGAUACCCUGGUAG
rnacentral:rRNA from 1 species